rnacentral:rRNA from 1 species
AAUAUUGGACAAUGGGCGAAAGCCUGAUCCAGCCAUGCCGCGUGUGUGAAGAAGGUCUUCGGAUUGUAAAUCACUUUCAGUUGGGAGGAAGGGGUGGAAGCUAAUACCUUCAAUCUUUGACGUUACCAAUAGAAUAAGCACCGGCUAACUCUGUUCCAGCAGCCGCGGUAAUACAGAGGGUGCAAGCGUUAAUCGGAAUUACUGGGCGUAAAGCGCGCGUAGGUUGUUCAGUAAGAUGGAAGUGAAAUCCCCGGGCUUAACCUGGGAACUGCUUUCAUAACUGACGAGCUAGAGUACGGUAGAGGGUAGUGGAAUUUCCUGUGUAGCGGUGAAAUGCGUAGAUAUAGGAAGGAACAUCAGUGGCGAAGGCGACUACCUGGACUGAUACUGACACUGAGGUGCGAAAGCGUGGGGAGCAAACAGG